CCUUACUUAGCUCUUACAUACUUAGGAUCUA
rnacentral:sRNA from 1 species